rnacentral:rRNA from 1 species
UACGUAGGGUGCGAGCGUUAAUCGGAAUUACUGGGCGUAAAGCGUGCGCAGGCGGUUCGUUAUGUCCGUUGUGAAAGCCCCGGGCUCAACCUGGGAAUGGCAAUGGAAACUGGCGGGCUAGAGUGUGGCAGAGGGGGGUGGAAUUCCGCGUGUAGCAGUGAAAUGCGUAGAGAUGCGGAGGAACACCGAUGGCGAAGGCAGCCCCCUGGGCUAGCACUGACGCUCAGGCACGAAAGCGUGGGGAGAAAACAGG